rnacentral:misc_RNA from 1 species
UAAGAGAGAGUCUCAAACCUCACAUAACAAUUGAGAUAAAUUUUUUGCUUCCUUUAUUUCAUAAUACUCAGCCUGUUAUAUAGGCUUUACAUGGCAUAAAGAAAUUCCAUAAAUAAGUUUCUGUUAAAUAGGAAAUAAAAUCAUCCUAAUAUAAAGGAAAUUACUAAUAUCAAGGAAAUUAGUUACUAAAGCUAAUCCCCUAAUUUAUGCAUAGAAAAAUAACAACUGAAAUAAAUAAAAGAUACUGGAUCCUAAAGAAUUCUGCUGCAAUCAAGUUUCCUUGGUGCUGCUAGUUCCAUGUUCACGUCUGCAGUAGUGCUAUCCCACAAAGGCAUCCACAACAUCACUCCCCUCCUGAGAAGGGAGCUUGUCCUCAAGCUCGAAGUUUGGAUAAGCAUGGCGGAAUUGGUCAAGGUCUUCCCAAGUUGCUUCUGAAGUUGGUAAAUGUGCCCAUUGCACUAGUAUCUCCCAAGUGCCUCUGUUCAAUCUAAUGUGAAGGACAGAAGCUGAAGUGGGUACCACCUGGCCUUUGACAAUAGGAGGAAGGAGCGGAACCUGAACUGGAGGGUCACCUUUAAAUGGUUUGAGGAGAGAGACAUGAAAGACAUCAUGAAUCUGGCUUGAAGGAGGAAGCUGUAACUGAUAUGCAACUUCACCGAUGCAUCGUAAAAUCUUGUAAGGACCAUAAAACUUGGGUGAGAGCUUAUGAUAAGGGGUGUUGGUAAGGGAAAGACGUCUAUAAAGAAGAAGACGUAACCAAACCAUAUCACCAACUACAAAUUGAACAUCAUGAUGACCCUUAUCAUAAUAUAUUUUCAUGCGUUACUAAGCCUGCUAAAGAUGUUGAUGAAUGUCUGCAAGAACAGAAUCUCAGUCUAAUAGGGCUUUGUCCACUGCAUCUUGCUUUACCAAUUUCUUGAAUUGCCUAAACUUUAAACUCUUUGCUUUUCUUGGCGGCCAAUCACUUCUCCAAGUGUGGGAUAAAUUUUUAAUGAAGGGAAUUAUGGGUUUUAUCGUAGGAAAAGGGAGAAAAAUUCAAGCUGAAAGCUUGAAAAAUCAAGAGAGAAUGUUG